rnacentral:rRNA from 1 species
UAGGGAAUCUUCCGCAAUGGACGCAAGUCUGACGGAGCAACGCCGCGUGAGUGAAGAAGGAUUUCGGUUCGUAAAACUCUGUUGUUAGAGAAGAACAGCGCAUAGAGUAACUGUUAUGCGUGUGACGGUAUCUAACCAGAAAGCCACGGCUAACUACGUUCCAGCAGCCGCGGUAAUACGUAGGUGGCAAGCGUUGUCCGGAUUUAUUGGGCGUAAAGCGAGCGCAGGCGGUCAAUUAAGUCUGAUGUGAAAGCCCCCGGCUCAACCGGGGAGGGUCAUUGGAAACUGGUUGACUUGAGUGCAAAAGAGGAGAGUGGAAGUCGAUGUGUAGCGGUUAAAUGCGUAGAUAUAUGGAGGAACACCAGUGGCGAAGGCAACUAUCUGGUCUGUAACUGACGAUGAGGCUCGAAAGCGUGUGUAGCAAACAGG